rnacentral:rRNA from 1 species
AGAAUCAACGCUGGCGGCGUGCCUAACACAUGCAAGUCGCACGAGAAAGGGGAGCAAUCCCUGAGUACAGUGGCGCACGGGUGAGUAACACGUGAAUAAUCUACCUCCGAGUGGGGAAUAACUGAGAGAAAUCUUAGCUAAUACCGCAUAAUACCCACGGGUCAAAGCAGUAAUGCGCUUGGAGAGGAGUUCGCGGCAGAUUAGUUAGUUGGCGGGGUAAUGGCCCACCAAGACGAUGAUCUGUAUCCGGCCUGAGAGGGCGCACGGACACACUGGAACUGAAACACGGUCCAGACUCCUACGGGAGGCAGCAGUGGGGAAUUUUGCGCAAUGGGGGAAACCCUGACGCAGCAACGCCGCGUGGAGGAUGAAGCCCCUUGGGGUGUAAACUCCUUUCGAUCGGGAAGAUAAUGACGGUACCGAUAUAAGAGCCCGGCUAACUUCGCGCCAGCAGCCGC